UGAGGAAUUUUCCGCAAUGGGCGCAAGCCUGACGGAGCGACGCCGCGUGAGGGAUGAAGGCUUUCGGGUUGUAAACCUCUUUUGCUUGGGAAAAAGGUCUUCGUGCUCAUACCACGGAGAUUUGAUGGUACUAAGCGAAUAAGCCCCGGCUAACUACGUGCCAGCAGCCGCGGUAAUACGUAGGGGCGAGCGUUGUCCGGAAUUACUGGGCGUAAAGGGCGUGUAGGCUGUUGGGUAAGUCUGGUGUGAAAUGCUACGGCUCAACCGUGGCACUGCGCUGGAAACUGCCUGACUGGAGUGCAGGAGGGGUCACUGGAAUCCCCGGUGUAACGGUGAAAUGUGUAGAUAUCGGGGGGAACACCUGUGGCGAAGGCGGGUGACUGGCCUGCAACGUGACGC
rnacentral:rRNA from 1 species